GAUGAACGCUGGCGGCGUGCCUAAUACAUGCAAGUCGAGCGAACGGACGAGAAGCUUGCUUCUCUGAUGUUAGCGGCGGACGGGUGAGUAACGCGUGGAUAACCUACCUAUAAGACUGGGAUAACUUCGGGAAACCGGAGCUAAUACCGGAUAAUAUUUUGAACCGCAUGGUUCAAAAGUGAAAGGCGGUCUUGCUGUCACUUAUAGAUGGAUCCGCGCUGCAUUAGCUAGUUGGUAAGGUAACGGCUUACCAAGGCAACGAUGCAUAGCCGACCUGAGAGGGUGAUCGGCCACACUGGAACUGAGACACGGUCCAGACUCCUACGGGAGGCAGCAGUAGGGAAUCUUCCGCAAUGGGCGAAAGCCUGACGGAGCAACGCCGCGUGAGUGAUGAAGGUCUUCGGAUCGUAAAACUCUGUUAUUAGGGAAGAACAUAUGUGUAAGUAACUGUGCACAUCUUGACGGUACCUAAUCAGAAAGCCACGGCUAACUACGUG
rnacentral:rRNA from 1 species